GCCCCGGUGGCUCAUUGGUCUAAGCGCGUGCACCAUAAAGGAUGUGGCCUUCCUGUGGCGACCCGGUUUGAUUCCGGCUCGGGUCA